GACAACGGCUCUGACCGUCUGGCAGGCCGCGUGGCGCCCGCGCCGGCCUUCCUGCAGGGGACUCCACCGGAGCCUUGCCAAUUCCGUUUGUUUCCCUGUUGUCGCCCGCUUCACCCUGGAUCAUGUUCAAGAAGUUUGAUGAAAAGGAAAGUGUGUCCAACUGCAUCCAGUUGAAAACGUCAGUUAUUAAGGGCAUUAAGAGCCAACUGGUAGAGCAAUUUCCAGAUAAGAAAACUGAAGCUCAGAGAGGGCACUGCCUUCCCCAAGGUCACCCAGCUACAAGUAACAAAGCCUGUGCUUCUAACACCAAAGACCACUUCCCGCUGAUACUGUGCCAGGCUUAGAUCAUCAAUUACGAAUUUGACACCAAGGACCUGGUGUGCCUGGGCCUGAGCAGCAUCGUUGGCGUCUGGUACCUGCUGAGGAAGCACUGGAUUGCCAACAACCUUUUUGGCCUGGCCUUCUCCCUUAAUGGAGUAGAGCUCCUGCACCUCAACAAUGUCAGCACUGGCUGCAUCCUGCUGGGCGGACUCUUCAUCUACGAUGUCUUCUGGGUAUUUGGCACCAAUGUGAUGGUGACAGUGGCCAAGUCCUUCGAGGCACCAAUAAAAUUGGUGUUUCCCCAGGAUCUGCUGGAGAAAGGCCUCGAAGCAAACAACUUUGCCAUGCUGGGACUUGGAGAUGUCGUCAUUCCAGGGAUCUUCAUUGCCUUGCUGCUGCGCUUUGACAUCAGCUUGAAGAAGAAUACCCACACCUACUUCUACACCAGCUUUGCAGCCUACAUCUUCGGCCUGGGCCUUACCAUCUUCAUCAUGCACAUCUUCAAGCAUGCUCAGCCUGCCCUCCUAUACCUGGUCCCCGCCUGCAUCGGUUUUCCUGUCCUGGUGGCGCUGGCCAAGGGA
rnacentral:sRNA from 1 species